ensembl:lncRNA
CAAAUAACCAGACAAAGAUAUUUGACUGACCGGCUAGAUUCGGUCCUGUGUAGCAACAUUUGAAAUUGUGUUUUUUACAUUGACUAAAAGUACAGACUCGGAGCUAGAAAGUGGUAUAUCAUACACUGCAGUUGAGGAACAAUGGGAAAGUAAUUCUGCUUUGAAAGUGGAUUAACUUGUAACCACACUUUUGAGAAAAUGGCCUUUGGAUAUUUUGUUACACCUACUGGAGAGCUCUUCUUUGUCUACACCGUUUCAGCAUCAUUCACACUGUCUUAAGCCUAGACUUUGGUGCAGAUCAUGUUGUUCUUCAUAUUAUCUUCUCUGGUAAACACACUCAAAUAUCAAAUAAGUUUAUUUGUCACAUGCUCAGGAUACAGAAGGUGUAGACAGUACAGUGAAAUGGUUACUUGCAUAUUUGCAUAGUAGCAAUAUCAAAAGAGAAAGUGUUCAGGUAAAUAUUGUAUAAUUAUUAGAUGAUUAUUACCCAGACACAUUAGUCUAAAUUGAUGGGUCAUGUGAAAGAAAAACUAUACCUUUUAUGGCUGCAGGGGCAGUUUUGAGUAGCUUGGAUGAAAAGGUGCCCAUUGUAAAUGGCCAGCGCCUCAGUCUCAGUUGCUAAUAUAUGUAUAUUAUUAUUAGUAUUGGAUAGAAAACACUCUGAAGUUUCUAAAACUGUUUGAAUUAUGUCUGUGAGUAUAACAGAACUCAUACUGCAGGCAAAAACCUGAGAAAUUCCACUUCCUGUUUGUAUUUUUUCUGGGGGUGGCAGAUUUUCAACCAAGCUCUCAUUGAAAUUACAGGGAGAUAUGGGUGAGUUUUCACUUCCUACGCUUUCCACUAGAUGGCAACAGUCAAUAGAACUUUGUCUGAUGACUCUAAUGUGAAGGGGGGUCGAAUGAGACAGGAAAUAGUCACCACUGCCACCAGUUGACCAUGCUUUCACCAUGCGUGUUCACAGGGGAAGGACCUGCGUUCCACCGGUCAUCUGAAGUCAUUCUAAUUCUCCGGUUGGAAUGUCAUUCAAGAUAUAUGUAAACAACAUUCUAAAGAUUGAUUCAGUACAUCGUUUGACAUGUUUCUACUGACUGUUACGGAACUUUUGGACAUUUUGUUACGUUAUAGUGGACGCGCUUUGUGACUUUGGAUUUUUUUAUCAAAAUAGCUAAUUGGACAUAAAUAACGGACAGUUUCAAACAAAUCAAGCAUUUAUUGUGCACCUGGGAUUCCUAGGACUGCAUUCUGAUAAAGUUCAUCAAAGGUAAGGAAACAUUUAUCAUGUAUUUUCUGGUUUCUGUUGACUCCAAUAUGGCGGCUAAUUUGGCUACUGUUCUGAGCUCUGUCUCAGAUUAUUGCAUGGGUUGCUUUUACCGUAAACUUUUUUUUAAAUCUGACACAGCGGUUGCAUUAAGGAGAGGUAUAUCUAUAAUUCCAUGUGUAUAACUUAUAUUAUCAUCUACAUGUAGGAUGAGUAUUUCUGUUGAAACGACUUGAUGUUUUUGGAACUAGUGAAUCUAAUACGCCAAUGUAAACUCAAAUUUUUUAGGUAAAUAUGAACUUUAUCAAACAAAACAUGCAUGUAUUGUGUAACAUGAAGUCCGAUGGGUGUCAUCUGAUGAAGAUAAUUCAAGGUUAAUGAUUAAUUUUAUCUCUAUUUCUGCUUUUUGUGAAUGCUAUGUUUCGCUGGAAAAUGGCUGUGCUUAUUGUGGUUUGGUGGAGACCUAACAUAAUCGUUUGUAGUGCUUUUGCUGAAAAGCAUAUUUGAAAUCGGACACUUUGGUGGGAUUAACAACAAGAUUACCUUUCAAAUGAUACCAGACACAUGUAUGUUUUAGGAAUUGUAAUUAUGAGAUUUCUGUGGUUUGAAUUUGGCACCCUCUAUUUUCACUGGUAGUUGUCAUAUCGAUCCCGUUAGUGGGAAUGCAGCCAUAACAAGAUAACCACCCCCAGACACAUCUGGCUAACUUGACAGGUAAUGUAAUCAUUUGGUGAAGUGCAGUCUUUUGUUUAAACACGUAGCUAGCUAAACAAUUAACCUAACGGUGCAUUCAAAACAACUGGAAAUAUGGAAAAACACCAUAGAAAAUACCCAACCGAUGUUCAUAGCUAGCCACCAUGCCUGAAUCAGGUAGCUAAAGCUAACCAAAUAGGUUCAAUGUUAGCUUGCUAGCUAACAUUACGCUAUAACUAGCAAUACAAAUGGCUUUCUGAGUUACAAAUAAUAUUACUAAACAGAUCAUACACGUCACGUUAGCUAGCGACCCAGUCAGCUAACAGUACGCUUUAACUUGCAAUGAAAACAACUUUCUGACUAAAUUAGAAAUGUAUAAUAUCUGAAAAUGUAGCUAGCUAGACUCUUAUCCGAAUACAUGGAUGAACGCUUCUCCCUCUCUGUCACAGAUGCCAUGGUUGCCAUUAGUUUGAAGAUGUAAUCUGGAAACAGAUGUUUUAUACAAUAACCUUCUGUGUUCUCUUUUCAACUCCCUCUGCCAAUUUGCAAUCAAACGCCAGAAUUUUCUCCAUCUCCUUAGCUAUUGUGAUGGAAAAUGUUAUGUUUGUGCUUUUCUAAUAACCAUUUCUGUGUUCAAUGUUUGUGCUGUUCUGCUGUUCUAAUAACCAAUUUCUGUGUUCAUGCAAGUAACUGAUUGAAUGUGCCUGGGAGGAAUCCUCACUAUCAGUAUCGGCAAUUUGGCAGUAUGCCCAGAACCUUGUUUGGAGAACGAAAGGGAUAUCUCAGUUUCAAGGUCUCAGCUUGGAGACAAGAAGCCUUGUGAGGUGUUGGUCAUUUACAUGCAUGAACCAAACGUUAAUGAUUAAUUAAUUAUGAAUGAUGAAUAAACUAAAUCAUGCAAAUAUAACUUGUCUGUGUAAGCAGUAUAUAAGAGAACUAACAGGACUGCCCCGGAGGAGCUCACUUCAGAAUGGUACUUUAUGCAUCCAAGUUUGACUGUGACCUCUCCAGUUUGCUGUUAAUAAAGAUAGAUUCAUUUAAGAUUGACUCCAAGUGUCCCUUGUGGUAAUUUCCACGACACUAUCAUACUCCGCUUCCACUGAUUUCAACUUCUUCCAUGACAACAACACUGUUGAUCACUGUUUCUUCUCCAUCACUGUCAUCAGAAGACGCUACAAUGUCUGGUUCAAUGAAAAUGUUUUUACCUAAAUCAGGAGUUUCCUCAUCGUCUGAUUCAUUUUCAGAUUCAGAGAGUCAGCAUGGCACGAUCGUCCUCCAGAAUGUGGAGAGCAGUAGCAACACUUUUUCAGUUCAUGAUAUUUUUCAAAAAAGCUGCAGUAGAAAGGAUUAUCUACACAUACUACAUUAUCUACACUACAUGGCAGACCAAUCUGAACUCAUCUCUCAACGUGUUCACCCCAUCCAUUGUCUCUUCCAAUCAUGGUUAGCAGGAGGAUUCCUGUCUUUUUCCAUGGCUAAACCAACUAGGCUUGUAUUUUAACAAUUGUAUUUGUAUUUACAAAUGGUCAACAAGUUUGUUAUUACGGUACAAGAAAGUUCACAUGUUCCAGAAGGCAUUUCGGCCCAAAAAACGCAUUUUGAAUUUUAAAAAUCAUGUUUACAUUCAAAUGCCCUUCCUGGGAAGUAGUGACAUGCGACAUACAGUACAUCUAGUUUCCUGAAAUGAGUCAUAUUUGCAGAAUAUUUUCUAGAUGUAAAUGUUCUCCCAGGUGACGAUCACAAGAGGAAAUAUCCCUAGAGGAUGUUGUAGAUGGCCCCUGCUGGACACUGCCGAUAUUUCUUAAUCUCCUCAAUACGCUGUAUAGUGUCAGUGUCCAAAGGAUCCUCAGCUGUCUUCCUCGUCCAGACACUGGAGCUGGGUCGGGGAGUUGGAGUGGAGGUUGAUGAAGUGCCAGGGCAGAGAGCGAGGGUGCAUCUGGGCGGAGCGUUGGCCACUGGUGAGAGGGGCCGGGGACGCGAUGAACCAGGCCGGGGACGCGAUGAACCAGGCCGGGGACGCGAUGAACCAUUCCGGGGACGCGAUGAACCAGGCCGGGGACGCGAUGAACCAGGCUGGGGACGCGAUGAACCAGGCCGGGGACGCGAUGAACCAGGCUGGGGACGCGAUGAACCAGGCUGGGGACGCGAUGAACCAGGCUGGGGACGCGAUGAACCAGGCCGGGGACGCGAUGAACCAGGCCGGGGCUCAGUUCUGUCUCUGUUUUCAGAUGUUUGAACUAGCCCUUUUUAUUUAACCUUUAUUUAACUAGGCAGGUCAUUAAGAUAACAACACAGGCACAGGAUAUUUCCCACUUACAAUUUUUCCCAUUUGGAAAUGAGCUGAUUUCACAAGUUCUAAUUAGGUCUGCUGAGAUAAGAUCAUGAACACACACAGAUACUGUACAAAAGGAUUCAGCUACAUGACAAGAGUACCUACACUGAGUAUACCAAACAUUAGAAAUAACUUCCUAAGUUAUUUCCCCCCCCCUGUUGCCCUCAGAACGGCCUCAAUUCGUCGGGGCUUGGAAUCUACAAAGUAUUGAAAGUGUUCCACAGAGAUGCUGGCCCAUGUUGACUCCGAUGCUUCCCACAGUUGUAUCAAGUUGGCUGGAAGUCCUUUGGGUGGUGGACCCUUCUUGAUACACACAGGAAACUGUUGAGUGUGAAAAACCCAGCAGCGUUGCAGUUCUUGACACAAACCAGUGCGCCUGGCACCUACUACCAUACCCUGUUCAAAGGCACUUCAAUAUUUUGUCUUGCCCAUUCACCCUCUGAGUGGCACACAUACACAAUCCAUGUCUCAAUUAAUCCAAAGGCUUAAAAAUCGUUCUUUAACCUGUCUCCUCUCCAUCAUCUACACUGGAUUUAACAAGUGAUAUCAAUAGGGGAUUAUAGCUUUCACCUGGAUUCACCUGGUCAGUCUAUGUCAUGGAAAGAGCAGAGGUUCUUAAUGUUUUGUAUUCUCAGUGUACAGCGUAUCUGCCUGAUGAUGUUUCACGUAAACACAAAGCCAACCUGGUUGUCAGAGCAUCGGCAGCAGCCGCACACCAUUUCGUUGACCUUUUUCGAACAUACCGUUCCUGAAUCGUUCUCCAUUUUUCUUUGAUAUCAGCAUCGGUGUUCGAAUUUUGGCGAUAUCUCCCUCCAGCUGUAAUCUUUUGUGUCUUCUCCGAUUACAACUGCAUCGAAGGAUUGUAGAGGUCACACCUCCUUGCACAGACGCUCCUCAAAACUGGACAGACAUAAUUGCGCAUAGCAAAAGUUGAAUUAAAAACACACAAAAAAAGAUGCUUGAAGGUAGAACAGCAAGAGCAGGGAUGUAGCAGCACGUCCAUCUCUUCUGU